UAGGGAAUCUUCCGCAAUGGACGCAAGUCUGACGGAGCAACGCCGCGUGAGUGAAGAAGGAUUUCGGUUCGUAAAACUCUGUUGUCAGAGAAGAACAGCGCAUAGAGUAACUGUUAUGCGUGUGACGGUAUCUAACCAGAAAGCCACGGCUAACUACGUGCCAGCAGCCGCGGUAAUACGUAGGUCCCGAGCGUUGUCCGGAUUUAUUGGGCGUAAAGCGAGCGCAGGCGGUUAGAAAAGUCUGAAGUGAAAGGCAGUGGCUCAACCAUUGUAGGCUUUGGAAACUGUUUAACUUGAGUGCAGAAGGGGAGAGUGGAAUUCCAUGUGUAGCGGUGAAAUGCGUAGAUAUAUGGAGGAACACCGGUGGCGAAAGCGGCUCUCUGGUCUGUAACUGACGCUGAGGCUCGAAAGCGUGGGGAGCGAACAGG
rnacentral:rRNA from 1 species